UUGUGCCUAUGUUCCCCUCUCUCUCUCUCUCUUUCUCUCUCCUUUUUGGGUAAGUCUUCAUAUUCCCAUAGGGAACAUUCUAUGCUGAAAUGUUGAAUUUCUUGGCCCUAAGAUGACUUCCACUAUCUUGAGGAUAGGUUUGCUCUUCUUUUUUGAGCAUUCCAAGCCAAUCUUUUACAACAUGGACUCCACUCUCUCUCUCUCCAUAUAAUCUAUUUCUCUUUAUAAUUUUUUUUUUCCAAAACAAAUCUUCAAGGAUAGGAUGAAUAUAUAGAAGUUGCUCAUCCUAUGGUUUCUGAUAAAGUGACAAGGGUAUUAAAGGACAUGUUAGAUGAAGGAAGAGGGCAUUAUCAAUUUUCAUAAAUGUUAAAUCCGUUGUGAAGGGAAUUGAUAAGCUUGAACACGCUUCUGCCAGUUCACGGUGCAAAACUUCCUCUGACGAUCAAGUUAGUGAAGCGGGUCUCUUACAAGCUUUAGGAGAUAUUGUUUGGUCGCAAUGGGGCUUCACAUUUUGCAUGCUCAUCUUAAUAAUGCUUUUUCUGAGGCUGUCAACCCCAGUAAGCAGUAACUCUUUUCUUCAGGAGCAUCAAACUAGAGAUGAACAUCUUGAUGAAUUAAAGAUGCUGGGGCAUUUUGUUAUUAAUGGGCUGACAAUAUAUAUUCAUGAUGUGACAUGCUAUGUGAUAUAGGUAGCUAGGGUUAUUAAUUACAUCAGUCUCAUCUAAUGGAGAAUGCUUCUGAGGAUGCUUUACUCUGAAGAAAUUAAUCAGAUUAUGUCCUUUUGACUUUUGUCCGUUGUUUGCGUUACUGCCUCAAAAUGUGCUACAAAGUCAAGAAUAAAUACGGAUAGCAGUUCUAGUUGUAGAGUUACAAUGGUUGGGCGAUCCUCUUAGAUAUCUAGCUAGUUCUAUCUAAUUACCGUACAUCUAAUUCUAAUUAUAGAGUGGAUUUUUUUCCAUGGAAAAUUUGGGUUAUGGGAGUAAUGCAUGUUUCCAAGUUGUGUUGCUAGGACUCCACUUUAUAUAUUACUUUUUGAAAUUUAUGCCUUCAAUUUUCAGAUAAGAUGCCUAGCCGCAUCCAAUAAUAAUAAUUAAAAAUAACAAAAAUUGUUUGUCUAGAAAAAGUGUUCACUCUUAUGAGAAGAGUCCUCCUUAAUCCCUCAUUUUACAACAAACUUGAAUGUGAAAGGAGAGAAAAAUCUUUUCGUAGGAGUAAAUAAAUUCGCGUCUGCAUGGUUGAACUUUUCACAUGAUUAAUGCAUUUUGAUCAAUAUCAAUAAGUCUAUAAGCACAACUUCUUUCUUAUUUUUAUUUACAAUUAUUGGUGUGAUAAGUGUCAUAAUAAACAAUAAAAUGAUGUUAUUGAUAGACUCAUGUGAAAAUUAAUAACAACCUACCAUCAUAAUUAACAAAUGGUGAAAAUAUUUUGUUUGUAGCAUUCUUCGUAAUUUAUAGUUUGGUUUCUAUGGUAUUUAUAGUUUGGUUUUCAUGGUAAAUUCUAAUUUUGUUCAAACUCCUACAAUUGAAUUCAUAUUAUAAGAUUAAGGUUAAUCAAGACCCCAAUAAAAUUUCAUAGGUCCAUCAUGGAAUCACCACAUGUUAGAUCAAUAUAAUAUUGAAAUUUUUUAUGGGAUUAGACCUAUCAAUAUUAAAGGUGAAGUCUGUCUAAUAUCUUGUAGAAGAAAAGAGUCUUUUCUUUUGCUUGCAAUGGAAUGAGAUGAAACCCACGAGCCACAUAAGGAAUGGUUUCUUUGUCACCUUUGGGGGAGGAAAGUAAAACUUUACCGUAAGUAAAGAAUAUUCUUGGUUGGCUUUUAUAUCUUUUCAUUUCAUGAUUAUUCAAUGAUGAAAUAUGUACUAGUUUAUUAGGUGAGAGUUUGUCUUUCUCCUUAUAUGGGUAUUAGGUGUUAGUACACGUACGUCCACCUUUCCCCUUUAAGUUCCCUCAAUCAAAAAGAGAGAGAUAGAAGAGAGGAAUGCUUUAUUUCAAGAUGGAAAAGUGUCAGUCAUAAUAAAACUGAAAUUGUUGAGUACUGAGUAGGCACAGCCUUCCACUACAUCACACUAAUCCCAUCAACCUAAACUGAAAUUGUUGUACCUUUUCGAAGGUAUCUACAUUAUGUUAAAACGUGUACAUGGUUUUAAAUUUUUCUUUGAAUUUCAUCUACUUAUGUUUUACUCCAUUAGUCACUUAAAAAUGGUUGGUGACUAAAUGGACGUGAAACUACAAUAUUAGUCUCUAAAGUUUAUUUACCGAACGCUAUUAGCUCUUGAAGUUUAAAAUGAGCACUAUUAUUCCCUAAUGUUUCAAAAAUGAGCAUUAU